rnacentral:rRNA from 1 species
GACAGAGGGUGCAAACGUUGCUCGGAAUUACUGGGCGUAAAGCGCGUGUAGGCGGCCCUGCAAGUCGGGUGUGAAAUCCCAUGGCUCAACCAUGGAAGUGCACUCGAAACUGCAGGGCUAGAGUCCUGGAGAGGAAGGUGGAAUGCUUGGUGUAGGGGUGAAAUUCGUAGAUAUCAAGCGGAACACCGGUGGCGAAGGCGGCCUUCUGGACAGUGACUGACGCUGAGACGCGAAAGCGUGGGGAGCAAACAGG